rnacentral:rRNA from 1 species
CGAAAGCCUGACGGAGCAAGACCGCGUGAGGGAGGAAGGCUCUUGGGUUGUAAACCUCUUUUCUCAGGGAAGAAGCUCUGACGGUACCUGAGGAAUCAGCCUCGGCUAACUCCGUGCCAGCAGCCGCGGUAAGACGGAGGAUGCAAGCGUUAUCCGGAAUUAUUGGGCGUAAAGCGUCCGCAGGGGGCGCAUCAAGUCUGCUGUUAAAGGCUGGAGCUUAACUCCGGUAGAGCAGUGGAAACUGGUGCGCUAGAGGGCGACAGGGGUAGAGGGAAUUCCCAGUGUAGCGGUGAAAUGCGUAGAGAUUGGGAAGAACACCGGUGGCGAAAGCGCUCUACUGGGUCGCACCUGACCCUCAGGGACGAAAGCUAGGGGAGCG